CUGAACCAGCCAAGUAGCGUGAAGGAUGACUGCCCUAUGGGUUGUAAACUUCUUUUAUAAAGGAAUAAAGUCGGGUAUGCAUACCCGUUUGCAUGUACUUUAUGAAUAAGGAUCGGCUAACCCCGUGCCAGCAGCCGCGGUAAUACGGAGGAUCCGAGCGUUAUUCGGAUUUAUUGGGUUUAAAGGGAGCGUAGAUGGAUGUUUAAGUCAGUUGUGAAAGUUUGCGG
rnacentral:rRNA from 1 species